GCCAGUUUUCACUCCCACCCACUACAAACGAAAUGCAACAGUUAAUAGGUUAAUUAUACAAAUAAAGCCAUUUAAGAUGCAUCAACAAUAUGCUACACUGCCACAUGUGGUGAUAUCAUUUAUUAUACUUCAACAAGCUAAUUUACUACUUGUAGAGAUCAAAAGAUUUUCCAUACUACAACGUACAAACUAUGUGCAUUACAGAAUAAGUAGUAGUUUUUUAUUGCAGGGCAGAAGACAAAAUGCAACACUAGAGCUAGAUAGGGAUUAAGGCUUAGUAGAGCUGAGUUAAAUAAAUACUGCAAUACUGCAGGGCACCAAUGGGGGUAAGCAAGAAUACACAAAAUACAGAGUAAGCAAACAUUAUGUUCACAAAAAUUCUCCCACUGCUUAUGUUUCUGAGUAAGGUAUGUCAAUUAAAACGAACAUUACAGAAAGAGCAGCCACUCAGAAUCAGAAACAUUUCCUGAUAUUCUCUAGAGCUAGCGGUCUCAUCAAGAAAAUAGUUACUUUCAAAAUUCAAUUUUGAACAACAGAACUUCACGUCAGAUGCAAAAUUGAAGUGCCACUUAUUACAUGAAGAAUGCAAUUCAACUAAGUGAACCAACGAACAAAAAUUCAUCAAUAUCAUAUGCUAGAAGGGCACACGAAAGAUUAGGAAAUGUAUAGCAUUCAAUCAUAAAUUACCUGCAACUGCAAUGU
rnacentral:misc_RNA from 1 species